rnacentral:rRNA from 1 species
UACAGAGGUUCCGAGCGUUGUUCGGAUUCACUGGGCGUAAAGGGUGCGUAGGUGGUGGGGUAAGUCGGAUGUGAAAUCUCGGAGCUCAACUCCGAAAUGGCAUUGGAAACUACCCUGCUGGAGGUUUGGAGGGGGGACUGGAAUACUUGGUGUAGCAGUGAAAUGCGUAGAUAUCAAGUGGAACACCAGUGGCGAAGGCGAGUCCCUGGACAAAACCUGACACUGAGGCACGAAAGCUAGGGGAGCAAACAGG